CAAGCCUGGGGGGAGCAAUGGUUUGCAAAAGGCUUCACAGACUGCUUUACUUGUCUUCAUUGUCUUUACAUGUAAGGGUUUUUUCUUUUGCAAGUGAUUGUUUCCAAAGUGAAUUCAUCUGUUGGGUGUUCAGAAAUAGAAGGAAUGAUGAGGAUGGAGGUGUCCCUGAGAAUGUCGAAGAACCGGAAACCCUGGAGUGGCCAGCACAAUGAUGUAGUUCAAAUGGAUGACUCGUCUGUUAAUGCAAACAGAUUGAGCCUCACUAAGUUAGCAAGGCUGGCUAACUUGUUUCUAUAGAGGAGCUCGGCCUUAGAACCUGAAACACUCCUACCUCGGACUCUUGGACAGCUGAGGUCACAGCCCUGUAC